UGCUCUUGUCUCUUGCUUGCUUUUGCUGUCUUCUGCCUGCCAUGAACUGUUUGUCUUCUGUGAUUCCCCUCUGUCAUGCCAACCUGCCUUGGAGCCAGCCGAUUGUGGACAGAAAUCUCUGCAAACUCAGGGGAGCACCAACACUGAAAAUGCACACUGCAAGCAAACUGAACUGAACUGAAGAUGUGCCCAGGUCAGGAGGCAAAGGAAGAGACUUGCGAGGAAGGAAACCUGGAUGGGAACAGAAUGACACUGAAGUCAACAUACAAUAGCUUGGGGAAGAGAUUUGAAGAGAUCACAAUCCUAGAAACACGCUAACACUGUGGUAAACUCAUUCUGUGGGAGAGGCAGCAAGUCCAAAUGAGAUAUUUCCAACUGAAAAAAUGCAUGUCAAACUUGAUUCCUUCAAAGGA